AUGGCGGAAGGCUUCCGAAGACCCGAACCUCUAGUGUUUGAUGGCAACAUUAGUGAGAACUGGCGCGUAUUCGAGCAAGAAUACAAUAUAUUUAUAGCAGCUGCUCACUCAGACAAAGAUGCCAAGACGCAGGCAUUUAUUCUCCUUAACUUGGCCGGCUCAGAAGCCAUCGAGCGGGAGCGCGCAUUUGUGUAUGCACCAGCCGUGUAUGCGGGGGAAGGAGAGCAACGAUGGAUGAUCGCGGAGGCUGAAACCAGAGAGAACCCGGAAUGUAUCAAACGGAAAUUCCGUGAGUUAUGCAACCCACAAACAAAUUUAACUAUGGAACGCCACAAAUUCAAUAUGAGAAACCAAAAACCCAGUGAAACCAUAGAAGCAUACGUGAGUGAUUUAAGGAACAAAGCAAAGACGUGCAGAUUUGGUGAUCUAACAGAUGAACUCAUAAGAGACAGACUCAUGUGUGGCGUGACCAAUGAUGGUAUGAGAAAAAUUCUAUUGAGAGACAGUGAGUUAACACUAGCCAAAGCAAUAGAAUUGUGUCAAAUCCACGAACUAACAGAUCUGCACACAAAGACUCUUGCAACGCCUAAAAGCAACACUAACGUGGACAGUGUGUACCACAAGACAAAGACUAAAAUUACACAAGGAUUUAAACAAAGAUCCAACUCUGAUCGCACAAGCUCUCAGAUAAUAAAUUGUAAUAGUUGUGGAGGUAAGCAUGAAGCAAAAAAGGAAAAAUGCUUAGCUUAUGGUCAACAGUGCCACAAAUGUAAAAAAUGGAAUCAUUUCAAGAAGUGCUGUAAAAUGACACCGAAGUACAUGCCGAAUAGACGGAGAAGAGCCGUAGACCAGCUCAAACCAAAAGAAACUUCCACAGAUAGCGCAGAUGAAUCCUACUAUGUGGAUGGGGUGUCACUCGAAAAAGGUGCUGUACGAACUGAGGAAAAGAAAACCCCUCAAAAGACUGAGCUAAUAAGCACUGUGCACAUCAAUGGACAUUCAGUUGAUUUUAAAGUAGACACAGGAGCCAAAUGUAAUGUCAUUUCUGAGGAUUUGUUCAUGAAAAUAAAAAAUGGAGAGGAUUUAAGCUCAUCGAAGAAGACCAUGCUCAUAGCCUAUGGAGGUGAGGAGAUACCCACAGCAGGCUUUGUUACUUUCAUCUGCCACUUAUCAGAAAGGGCAUACAACCUCUCGUUUUACGUGAUAAAAAGAAACGUGCAACCAUUGAUAGGUCUGCCAGACUGCUUACAAAUGGAACUGAUCUCGUUCAACAAAGAAAUUCAUCAUGUGACAGCAGAUGAGGUUUCAUGCUUUGCAAGCAAAAUUCAUUCUGAAUAUUCAGACCUCUUCAAGGAUGAGAUUGGUAAACUUCCAGUAACAUAUUCAAUGAGAUUGAACCCAGCAGUUCACCCAGUUGUAAAACCUGCACGCAAAAUCCCAGCAGCCAUGCAGGGCAGGGUCGAAGCAGAAUUACGAAGAAUGGUUAAUAUGGGCGUUCUUACCCCAGUCUCAGAGCCCACCGAAUGGGUAUCAUCAAUGGUGGCAACCCACAAAAAGAAUUCAGAGGAGAUAAGACUAUGCAUUGACCCAAAAGACCUUAAUAAGGCCCUCCUACGUCCGCACCACCCCAUGCAUACAGUAGAAGAAGUUGCAUCUAAAAUGCCGGAUUCCUCUGUCUUUUCCGUUUUGGAUGCCAAAAGCUCAUUCUGGCAAAUUUCUCUUGAUGAAAAAUCAUCAAUGUUGACAACGUUCAACUCCCCAUUUGGGAGAUACUGA
ensembl:lncRNA